GAACACGGAGUUGCUCUGCAGCUGCAGCAGUGCACGGAACACCAGAGCUACAACUACGCAAGAUCUGUAAUGACGCCAGCCGUGACUAACUCGAUUGGAUGUCAACUGGUUGCAUCAUAAUCAGCUGUGAGGGCGACUCGCUGACGAACGUGAGGUCGAUGUCGCUGUAGCUGCCCUGCGUUGGAAGUUGCCGUCGUGGGAAUAGGCAACGGUCCUUCUAACAUGACCUGACAUCAUCUUACGCGACCUGUCAUCAUAUGACAUCACGAUGCCAAAC